UUACAAUUUCAAAAUUUUGCCAUUAGAUUAUGAGAAAUCCAAAGAUAAAAACUUGUAUCCAAAUUUAAAAAUUAAAGUGAAAAACUCUCCACCUUUCGAUACGGCAUUUUGGAGAAAUCAGAUCAACGGCUACAAUUGUAUCCGCAUGUGAAGGACGGUCCCAACUUCUUUCAAUAUCGCAUUGCACGGGGCAUAAAUGGGCUUGGGGCAUUCAAGGAAACUCUGCCGGAGCGCGUGGAGUACACGUGCAAAUGAGGAGCAAAAGACCCAAGUCAUGGACCCGACGUAGCAAAAGCAAAACGUGAACUCUCUGAUUGACUGAUUGUGAUUGAUCAUCAUCAAAAAUCGUCUGCGGCUGCAUUUGCCAUUUUGAUACACACAAUACUUUCAAAAGGAGAGCAAGUAAGAGUGCAAAACACAGAAGAAAGAGAGUGAGAGAGCUUUCAGCUCUGCACUUGGGUUGAUCCAGUCAGUCAGUCACUCGUUUUCUCUCUCUUUAUAGUAAAAAUGUCAUAAAUAGUGACAAAGUUUACAUUCUUUUCAAAUGAGUCCCCAUCAAUAGGUUCAUUAACAGGAUCAUUGAUAUUGCUGCAUAUAGACACCUAAAUUUCAUAAUUAGUGUCGUUUCAAACAAAGACAUCACUAUAUUUGAAAACACACAAGUAUUAUAAGUGUAUGUUAAAUAAGUCUAGCGGAUCAAUGUUAUUUCAUUCUUUUUAUGGUAUAAUUUUAGAAAAUUUACCUAUUAAAAUAAU
rnacentral:lncRNA from 1 species